UUGACAGGUCCUCUAAUGGUUUUUGCUUUAUUAAGAUAAUAAUGAUACAUAAAAAAGUCUGCUAGUCACGCACGAUUGUCAUGAUUCAUUUUCUAUCACUGGAAAGGAAAUAUAGAUGCAGACGCAGAACAAAAUAUAGCUUUGUACUCAACACAGUUAUGGAGUGAUCUGUUCAUUUAUUCGGAAACACUUGUAUUCAAGAAAUAUUUAUAGCUUCCAAGUCAUAUUAUAAUAGGUUAGGUCUCUCAUGCCUCAACUUGAACUGCAGAUCAUAGGCCUAUAUAAACCUUGUAAAUCAGAGAACUUCAUCUACUAAGCAGCUAAUCUUCUGCGGAUCAUUGGUGCUUCAAUGAAGUUCUUGGGAAUAACUUGGAUAUUAGUCUUCAUCAUGGUUCCGAGUACAGACUUUGUCCAAGCAAGCUCUCGCAUCUCGCUUCUCCUCAGCUCUGUCGACCUUGGGCCGCCAACACCACAGUUUGUAACUGUAGCAGGAUGUAACAAUGACUGUGAUACUGCUUGUUGCAAUUGUGACAUCAAGAAACAGCCGCCUCUGUGUGUGCAAUGCUGCCAAGAAGACCCUUAAUGAGAUUCUUGCCUGCUCGAAGAUAUGUGUUGCUGUUGCCCCAGGAAUUGAAGCACAAAACCAUACCCUGUCAGGAUUUUUUUGUUUAAACAGUUGUACAAAUGCAAAUCUUAUGCUUCCAAGGAGAUUAAGACUAGCCAUAGUAGAGCGUGCAAAUGAGAAAUCUUACCUCUACUAUCCUCAAGCUGUCAUGGUGUGCCUUCAUUUACCAUGAAUUGAGGGAAAGAUCUUUUACCAAUAUGGAUUUUAUGCUCAUUCGAACUAGUGUUUUCUUAAUUAUUCACUCGACGUUGAACUCGGUUAGAACCUUGCAAUCCAA